UUCGCCCUUAGAGUUUGAUCCUGGCUCAGGACGAACGCUGGCGGCGUGCUUAACACAUGCAAGUCGAACGGAGCGCCUAUGAAGGAGAUUUCGGUCAACGGAAUAGGUUGCUUAGUGGCGGACGGGUGAGUAACGCGUGAGGAACCUGCCUUUCAGAGGGGGACAACAGUUGGAAACGACUGCUAAUACCGCAUAACACAUAGGUGUCGCAUGGCAUUUAUGUCAAAGAUUUAUCGCUGAAAGAUGGCCUCGCGUCUGAUUAGCUAGUUGGUGAGGUAACGGCUCACCAAGGCGACGAUCAGUAGCCGGACUGAGAGGUUGGCCGGCCACAUUGGGACUGAGAUACGGCCCAGACUCCUACGGGAGGCAGCAGUGGGAAUAUUGGGCAAUGGGCGCAAGCCUGACCCAGCAACGCCGCGUGAAGGAAGAAGGCUUUCGGGUUGUAAACUUCCUUUGACAGGGAAGAGUAGAAGACGGUACCUGUCGAAUAAGCCACGGCUAACUACGUGCCAGCAGCCGCGGUAAUACGUAGGUGGCAAGCGUUGUCCGGAUUUACUGGGUGUAAAGGGCGUGUAGCCGGGUUGACAAGUCAGAUGUGAAAUCCUGCGGCUUAACCGCAGAACUGCAUUUGAAACUGUUGGAUCUUGAGUACUGGAGAGGCAGACGGAAUUCCUAGUGUAGCCGGUGAAAUGCGUAGAUAAUUAGGAGGAACACCAGGGGGGAAGGCGGUCUGGCUGGACAGCAACUGACCGGUGAGGCGGGAAAGCCGUGGGGAGCAAACAGGAUUAGAUACCCUGGUAGUCCACGCUGUAAACGAUGGAUACUAGGUGUGCGGGGACUGACCCCCUGCGUGCCGCAGCUAACGCGAUAAGUAUCCCACCUGGGGAGUACGAUCGCAAGGUUGAAACUCAAAGGAAUUGACGGGGGCCCGCACAAGCGGUGGAUUAUGUGGUUUAAUUCGAUGCAACGCGAAGAACCUUACCAGGGCUUGACAUCCUACUAACGAAGUAGAGAUACAUUAGGUACCCUUCGGGGGAAGUAGAGACAGGUGGUGCAUGGUUGUCGUCAGCUCGUGUCGUGAGAUGUUGGGUUAAGUCCCGCAACGAGCGCAACCCUUAUUGUUAGUUGCUACGCAAGAGCACUCUAGCGAGACUGCCGUUGACAAAACGGAGGAAGGUGGGGACGACGUCAAAUCAUCAUGCCCCUUAUGUCCUGGGCUACACACGUAAUACAAUGGCGGCCAACAGAGGGAUGCAAAGCUGUGAAGUGGAGCGAACCCCUAAAAGCCGUCCCAGUUCAGAUUGCAGUCUGCAACUCGACUGCAUGAAGUCGGAAUCGCUAGUAAUCGCGGAUCAGCAUGCCGCGGUGAAUACGAACGCGGGCCUUGCACUCACCGCCCGUCA
rnacentral:rRNA from 1 species